rnacentral:rRNA from 1 species
CCUACGGGGGGCAGCAGUGGGGAAUAUUGGGCAAUGGGCGCAAGCCUUACCCAGCAAUACCGCGUGAGUGAAGAAGGUCUUCGGAUUGUAAAGCUCUUUGAUCAGGGACGAACAGAUGACGGUACCUGAAGAACAAGCCCCGGCUAACUACGUGCCAGCAGCCGCGGUAAAACGUAGGGGGCGAGCGUUGUCCGGAAUGACUGGGCGUAAAGGGUGCGUAGGCGGCAUAAUAAGUUAGAAGUGAAAUACCCAGAGCUUAACUCGGGUGCUGCUUCUAAGACUGUUGAGCUUGAGUGCGGGAGAGG